UACGAAGGGGGCUAGCGUUGCUCGGAAUUACUGGGCGUAAAGCGCACGUAGGCGGCUCUUUAAGUCGGGGGUGAAAUCCUGGAGCUCAACUCCAGAACUGCCUUCGAUACUGUAGAGCUUGGGUUCGGGAGAGGUGAGUGGAACUGCGAGUGUAGAGGUGAAAUUCGUAGAUAUUCGCAAGAACACCAGUGGCGAAGGCGGCUCACUGGCCCGGUACUGACGCUGAGGUGCGAAAGCGUGGGGAGCAAACAGG
rnacentral:rRNA from 1 species